rnacentral:misc_RNA from 1 species
GCAAACUUGGUCAUUUAGAGGAAGUAAAAGUCGUAACAAGGUCUCCGUUGGUGAACCAGCGGAGGGAUCAUUACAGAGUUUAUUCUCUCCAACCCAUGUGAACUUACCGCGUUGCCUCGGCGCAGCCGGCCCCCCGCGGGCCGGCGCCGCCGUAGGAAAGCAAACUCUUGUUUAACGUGUAUUCUGAAAUAAUUAGCAAAUAGUUAAAACUUUCAACAACGGAUCUCUUGGUUCUGGCAUCGAUGAAGAACGCAGC